rnacentral:misc_RNA from 1 species
CGACCCUCAAGCACAGCUUGGUGUUGGACGGUUUAGCCUUGGUGACGAGGCCCGUUUUAAAGUCAAUGACGGCGGCCUGUUCGACCCCCGGUACACCGAGCUUCUUAACUAAGCACGUAUCGGUUGAAGGGUAGGCAGGACCCGGUCUUCUUCCUUAACCGGAAACUUUUUCCAA